rnacentral:rRNA from 1 species
CUAUGUGUUGUUGGGUAGGGGAGCGUUCUGUAAGCCUGUGAAGGUGGCCUGUGAGGGUUGCUGGAGGUAUCAGAAGUGCGAAUGCUGACAUAAGUAACGAUAAAGCGGGUGAAAAGCCCGCUCGCCGGAAGACCAAGGGUUCCUGUCCAACGUUAAUCGGGGCAGGGUGAGUCGACCCCUAAGGCGAGGCCGAAAGGCGUAGUCGAUGGGAAACAGGUUAAUAUUCCUGUACUUGGUGUUACUGCGAAGGGGGGACGGAGAAGGCUAUGUUGGCCGGGCGACGGUUGUCCCGGUUUAAGCGUGUAGGCUGGUUUUCCAGGCAAAUCCGGAAAACCAAGGCUGAGGCGUGAUGACGAGGCACUACGGUGCUGAAGCGACAAAUGCCCUGCUUCCAGGAAAAGCCUCUAAGCAUCAGGUAACAUCAAAUCGUACCCCAAACCGACACAGGUGGUCAGGUAGAGAAUACCAAGGCGCUUGAGAGAACUCGGGUGAAGGAACUAGGCAAAAUGGUGCCGUAACUUCGGGAGAAGGCACGCUGAUAUGUAGGUGAAGCGACUAGCUCGUGGAGCUGAAAUCAGUCGAAGAUACCAGCUGGCUGCAACUGUUUAUUAAAAACACAGCACUGUGCAAACACGAAAGUGGACGUAUACGGUGUGACGCCUGCCCGGUGCCGGAAG